rnacentral:rRNA from 1 species
AGCGAACGCUGGCGGCAGGCUUAACACAUGCAAGUCGAACGGGCACUUCGGUGUCAGUGGCAGACGGGUGAGUAACACGUGGGAACGUACCUUUUGGUUCGGAACAACUGAGGGAAACUUCAGCUAAUACCGGAUAAGCCCUUACGGGGAAAGAUUUAUCGCCGAAAGAUCGGCCCGCGUCUGAUUAGCUAGUUGGUAGGGUAAGGGCCUACCAAGGCGACGUUCAGUAGCUGGUCUGAGAGGAUGAUCAGCCACAUUGGGACUGAGACACGGCCCAAACUCCUACGGGGGGCAGCAGUGGGGAAUAUUGGACAAUGGGGGCAACCCUGAUCCAGCCAUGCCGCGUGGGCGAUGAAGGCCCUAGGGUUGUAAAGCUCUUUUGGGCGGGAAGAUAAUGACGGUACCGAAAGAAUAAGCCCCGGCUAACUUCGUGCCAGCAGCCGCGGUAA